AUUGAACGCUGGCGGCAGGCUUAACACAUGCAAGUCGAGCGGGGGAAGGUAGCUUGCUACCGGACCUAGCGGCGGACGGGUGAGUAAUGCUUAGGAAUCUGCCUAUUAGUGGGGGACAACAUCUCGAAAGGGAUGCUAAUACCGCAUACGUCCUACGGGAGAAAGCAGGGGAUCUUCGGACCUUGCGCUAAUAGAUGAGCCUAGGUCGGAUUAGCUAGUUGGUGGGGUAAAGGCCUACCAAGGCGACGAUCUGUAGCGGGUCUGAGAGGAUGAUCCGCCACACUGGGACUGAGCCACGGCCCAGACUCCUACGGGAGGCAGCAGUGGGGAAUAUUGGACAAUGGGGGGAACCCUGAUCCAGCCAUGCCGCGUGUGUGAAGGAGGCCUUAUGGUUGUAAAGCACUUUAAGCGAGGAGGAGGCUACUCUAGUUAAUACCUAGGGAUAGUGGACGUUACUCGCAGAAUAAGCACCGGCUAACUCUGUGCCAGCCGCCGCCGUAA
rnacentral:rRNA from 1 species